AGAGUUUGAUCCUGGCUCAGAAUGAACGUCGGCGGCGUGGAUUAGGCAUGCAAGUCGAGCGAGAAACUCACUUUUGAUCUUUCGAGUGAAAAAGUGAGCGGACAGCGGCGAAAGGGAGAGUAACGCGUAGAUCACGUACCCAAGGGCUCGGAAUAGCGGGGGGAAACCGCCGGUAAUGCCGAAUAAUGUCUCCGGACCAAAGAUUUAUCACCCUUGGAGCGGUUUGCGUACUAUUAGUUUGUUGGUGGGGUAACGGCCUACCAAGGCAAAGAUGGUUAGCGGGUGUGAGAGCAUGGCCCGUCUCACUGGGACUGAGACACUGCCCAGACACCUACGGGUGGCUGCAGUCGAGAAUCUUCCGCAAUGGACGAAAGUCUGACGGAGCGACGCCGCGUGCGGGAUGAAGGCCUUCGGGUUGUAAACCGCUGUCAUAGGGGAGGAAAUUUUGACCGAUCCUAAGAGGAAGCACAGGCUAAGUUCGUGCCAGCAGCCGCGGUAAUACGAACUGUGCGAACGUUAUUCGGAAUCACUGGGCUUAAAGGGUGCGUAGGCGGCUACAAAGGUCAGAUGUGAAAUCCCACGGCUCAACCGUGGAACUGCGUUUGAAACCGUGUAGCUUGAGGGAGUCAGAGGUAAGCGGAACUGAUGGUGGAGCGGUGAAAUGCGUUGAUAUCAUCAGGAACACCGGUGGCGAAAGCGGCUUACUGGGACUUUUCUGACGCUGAGGCACGAAAGCUAGGGGAGCGAACGGGAUUAGAUACCCCGGUAGUCCUAGCUGUAAACGAUCUGUACUAGUCUGUGGGGGGCUUCCACACCCUCUCGGACGUAGCGAAAGUGUUAAGUACAGCGCCUGGGGAGUAUGGUCGCAAGGCUGAAACUCAAAGGAAUUGACGGGGGCCCGCACAAGCGGU
rnacentral:rRNA from 1 species